AAGAAGUCAGGCCGAUUUAAGCCAUAGUACGGUAAGAGCUAUGCUGCCUGUGAGCCCCGUCCAAGGACGUAAAAUGAAGUCAGGCCGAAAGCCACGGCUUGAGCAAACCGUGCUGCCUGUGGCUCCAUCGUGGGGAUGUAAAACCCGGGAGGCUGCAACCCAUGGAAGCUGUACGCAUGGGGUAGCAGACUAGUGGUUAGAGGAGACCCCUCCCAAGAUACNNNNNNNNNGCGGGGCCCAACAC
rnacentral:lncRNA from 1 species